AAUCAACGCUGGCGGCGUGCCUAACACAUGCAAGUCGAACGCGAAAGUCCCGCAAGGGGCAAGUAGAGUGGCGCACGGGUGAGUAACACGUGGAUAACCUGCCAUUGAGUGGGGAAUAACCUUCCGAAAGGAGGGCUAAUACCGCAUAACACCUUUGGACGAAAGUUCGGAGGUUGAAAGGAGCAAUUCGCUCAGUGGGGGGUCCGCGCCUGAUUAGCUAGUUGGUGAGGUAAAGGCUCACCAAGGCUUCGAUCAGUAGCCGUCCUGAGAGGGAGCACGGCCACACUGGAACUGAGACACGGUCCAGACUCCUACGGGAGGCAGCAGUGGGGAAUUUUUGGCAAUGGGCGAAAGCCUGACCAAGCAACGCCGCGUGGGUGAUGAAGGCCUUCGGGUCGUAAAGCUCUUUUGGCGGGGACGAUAAUGACGGUACCCGCAGAAUAAGCCCCGGCUAACUCCGUGCCAGCAGCCGCAGUAAAAC
rnacentral:rRNA from 1 species